rnacentral:rRNA from 1 species
ACUGCUCAGUAACACGUGGCUAAUCUGCCCUUUGGGACCGGAACACCCCCGGGAAACUGGGGCUAAUUCUCGAUAGGUGAAGAACUCUGGAAUGAGUCUUUGCCGAAAAGUUGUCAGGGUUAUGCUCUCUGAUAACGCCCAAGGAUGAGGCCGCGACCGAUCAGGUUGUUGGUGAGGUAAUGGCUCACCAAGCCUUUUACCGGUGCGGGCCGUGAGAGCGGGAGCCCGGAGAUGGGCACUGAGACAAGGGCCCAGGCCCUACGGGGCGCAGCAGUCGCGAAAACUUUGCAAUACACGAAAGUGUGACAGGGCUAUCCCGAGUGCCAUCCGCUGAGGAAGGCUUUUACCCAGUCUAGAACGCUGGGGGAAUAAGGAGAGGGCAAGUCUGGUGUCAGCCGCCGCGGUAAUACCAGCUCUCCGAGUGGUGUGGAUGUUUAUUGGGCCUAAAGCAUCCGUAGCUGGCUAAGUUAGUCCCUUGUUAAAUCCACCGAAUUAAUCGUUGGAUUGCGGGGGAUACUGCUUGGCUAGGGGACGAGAGAGGCAGACGGUAUUUCCGGGGUAGGGGUGAAAUCCUAUAAUCCCGGGAAGACCACCAGUGGCGAAGGCUGUCUGCUAGAACGCGCCCGACGGUGAGGGAUGAAAGCUGGGGGAGCGAACCGGAUUAGAUACCCGGGUAGUCCCAGCUGUAAACGAUGCAGGCUAGGUGUUUGGACGGCCACGUGCCGUUCUAGUGCCGCAGGGAAGCUGUUAAGCCUGCCGCCUGGAGAGUACGAUCGCAAGAUUGAAACUUAAAGGAAUUGGCGGGGGAGCA